AAAGAUUUAAAGCCAUGCAUGUCUCAGUUUAAACGAUCUAAAUAGUGAAACCGCGAACGGCUCAUUACAACAGGUAUUAUUUACUUGACCUUGAAAGUAUCCUACUUGGAUAACUGUGGUAAUUCUAGAGCUAAUACAUGCCCUAAGGCUCUAACCUUACGGAAAGAGUGCAUUUAUUAGAUCAAAACCAAGCGGUUUCGGCCGUCUGCCACUGACUUAAAAUAACUAAGCUGAUCGUAUGGUCUUGUACCGACGACGUAUCUUUCAAGUAUCUGCCUUAUCAACUUUCGAUGGUAGUGUAGGGGACUACCAUGGUUGUGACGGGUAACGGAGGAUAAGGGUUCGACUCCGGAGAGGGAGCUUGAGACACGGCUACCAUGUCUAAGGACAGCAGCAGGCGCGCAAAUUACCCAUUCUCAGAACGAGGAGGUAGUGACGAAAAAUAACGAGACCGUUCUCAAUGAGGCCGGUCAUCGGAAUGGGUACAAUCUAAACCCUUUAACGAGUAUCUAUGAGAGGGCAAGUCUGGUGCCAGCAGCCGCGGUAAUUCCAGCUCUCAAAAUGCAUAGAAUUAUUGCUGCGGUUAAAAAGCUCGUAGUUGGAUCUGUGCUGGGAACUUGGUCCGUCUCCGGACGUGUACUAAGAUUUCCGGCUUUUUGCUGGUUUUCUCGUUAUGGCCUUUACCGGUCGUAGCGGGUGGCUGGCGAGUUUACCUUGAAGAAAUCAAAGUGCUUAAUACGGGCGUUUGCUUGAAUGUGGUGCAUGGAAUAAUAGAAAAGGAUUUCGGUUCUCUUUUAUUGGUUUUACGAGCUGAGAUAAUGGUUAACAGAGACAAACGGGGGCWUUUCGUAUCGUUGCGUGAGARGUGAAAUUCUUUGGAACGCAGCGAGACRAACUACAGCGAAAGCAUUUGCCCAAGAAUGG
rnacentral:rRNA from 1 species